UACGUAGGGGGCUAGCGUUGUCCGGAAUCAUUGGGCGUAAAGCGCGUGUAGGCGGUUCGGUAAGUCCGCUGUGAAAGUCGGGGGCUCAACCCUCGAAUGCCGGUGGAUACUGUCGGGCUAGAGUGCGGAAGAGGCGAGUGGAAUUCCUGGUGUAGCGGUGAAAUGCGCAGAUAUCAGGAGGAACACCAAUUGCGAAGGCAGCUCGCUGGGACGCUACUGACGCUGAGACGCGAAAGCGUGGGGAGCAAACAGGA
rnacentral:rRNA from 1 species